CUUGACAUCUUUUACAUUCCAAACGGCUUUACAAAAUUGGCUUAUUUUCUAGAGUAUAAUCUUACAUAGUUAACAAAUACAUUGAAAAUAUGGCUAAUUAACCAAAAGUUAAUACCAAAAAUUUGAAAUGUUUUCAAGAUCUUUCACAUAUUUUUGGAUAUCGAACGAAGAUACAACGAAGUUGCUUAAAAAGUAUACAGAUGAAGUAUAUCUAUAUGUCAGAACGUCUCCUUUGUGACGAUAUGCCUAGGUUAUAGAGCAAUUAGAUUGAAACUUUGUCAUGCAUGGAUUAAUAAUGCGACUUUAUAUAUUAAUAAUAUUACCUAAAGGAUAAGUUCAAGAAGAGUUUUAUCAUAAUCUGGAGAACCUAACAAAACUCCAAAUAUUCACCUUCUGUUGUUUGCAGAUCAAUGUCCAAGGACCACACGGUUUCAAUCUUGGCAUUUUCC
rnacentral:lncRNA from 1 species